UGAGUCUCCUCCCAUUUGACUCUAACAUAUAUUUCCGAAAACGAACUGUUGGCAUCAGUCCUCCAUUGCCACUGCCCUGGGUCUGCAACACUCCCACCAUGAAAGUCUCAGAUAGUUUGUUCCUCAUGGCCCUUCUUUCAGCGGUUCGUGGCCAGCAACUCACCUCCUCAGAAUCGGUGGUCAAAAGGCAAGGAGAACCGGUUACACUGUCCUGUCACGUGACCGGAGUCUCCCUCACUUAUCUUCACUGGAUUCGCCAGAGGUCAGGACAUGGCCUGGAGUGGAUUGGACGGAUAGAUGAUGGAACCGGAACAAUUUUUGCAGCGUCUCUUCAAGGGCAGUUCACCAUCACCAAAGACAGCACCAGAGAGGAGGUUUACUUAAAUGUGAAGAGUCUGAAGCCAGAGGACUCAGCUCUUUAUUAUUGUGCUAAAGAGGCACAUUGACACAGAA